UACAGAGGUCCCGAGCGUUGUUCGGAUUCACUGGGCGUAAAGGGUGCGUAGGUGGUGAGGUAAGUCGGAUGUGAAAGCUCCGAGCUCAACUCGGAAAUGGCAUUGGAAACUACCUUGCUAGAGGGUUUGAGGGGGGACUGGAAUACUUGGUGUAGCAGUGAAAUGCGUAGAUAUCGAGAGGAACACCUGCGGCGAAGGCGGGUUGCUGGGCUGACACUGACGCUGAGGCGCGAAAGCUAGGGGAGCGAACGGG
rnacentral:rRNA from 1 species